AUGAGAAUGUAAACAUGUUUACAAUCAACAUGCAACGCAUGUGAGAUGUGACAAUCUGUCAAUGGGAAAACCGAUUUAUAUUUGUGACAACAAAUACAUUGUAACUGUUACUGAUGACAUAUACCCUAAACGGAUGUAUCGAAGUUCAUAGGUAUAAAUACGCAGUAGAAUAGAUAAGUAAUAUCAGAGACAUAUAUAUGUCUCUGGUAAUAUAUAAGACAC
rnacentral:lncRNA from 1 species